CACGAAUAUGCGCAUCUUUAACUGAAUACAUUGCUCUUUCAGAGCCAAAUCCCACCUUAGGAGGUUGACAUUGCCCCUUUGGAAAUCACUGGAUGCUGAGAGCCCAUCUCCACAGACGUCAUUCUGGCCUUUUGAUUCCAGUCAUGUCCUCCAACAGCAGAGGAAAGCAUUUAAGCUGAAUAUGCUUCUCUGGGAAGAAUUUGUAAGAAAUCCAGUUUUAAUACCAAUUCUGGAGAGAAGACAGAAAAAAAACUCCAACUGUGUAGAACAAAAUACUACUGCAAAGGCUAUUGCUACAGUAAACCUGAAAGAAAAAACAGAAAAUGGUUUGUAAUACUGUUAUGGUUCCACUUACACGAGAAACCGAAUACUGAAUUAAACUUUAGUGUUUGUUGUUCCAUUAGUCUUAUAGAAAAUUAUUUUACUGUAAUUAUGUCUUUGAAAUAUAAUUUUAGUAGCCUUGAUACCAAUUUAUUUACUCAGUUUGAUGAAGCAUCCAAACCAGCCCUUAAUACAUGCUAUAGGGCAGAGGUUGUGGGGAGUGACAUUAUUUUUUUAAAGAUUUUAUUUGUUUAUUCAUAAAAGACACACACACACACACACAGAGGCAGAGACAGACAGAGGGAGAAGCAGGCCCUGCAAGGAGCCUGAUGUGGGACUCGAUCCCGGACGCUGGGAUUACAACCUGAGCCAAAGGCAGAUGCUCAACUGCUGAGGCACCCAGGCAUCCCACAUUCUCUCUCUCUCUCUCUCUCUUUUUUUUUUUUAAAGAUUUUAUUUAUUUAUUUGAAAAAGAGAGUGAGAGAGAGCACAUGCAGGGGCAAGGGGCAGAGAGAGAGGGAGAAGCAGGGAGCCCCAU
rnacentral:lncRNA from 12 species